AUGAACUAAGAAUGGCUUGCACAGAGCUUAGAUGUCUCUACCAGCUCAGAUUAAUUUGUGUGGAACUUCUCAAUACAGAUGUUCAGCUGUUGUACCUUUCAUUUAGAGGUGGACUGAGAAAUGGGAGAAAUUGGGAAGAAAUCUAAGAAGCUGUAUUGAGACCACACUAUUCUCAAGUUGCAAGAUGUGUCUGUUAUUCUCAGUAUUGGAACUCUAACGGCAAAGCCUAACUGAUGAGUUUCUAAGGAAACCUGAUGCCUAUAAACAAAGAUAUACAGAGACCUUUCCAAAUGUUCUUUUUUUCCUUUUCCAGUAGAGGACAUUGUCUGUUCUGGUAGGGAUUAAAAACAAAACAAACCUUUGA